rnacentral:rRNA from 1 species
AUUGAACGCUGGCGGCAGGCCUAACACAUGCAAGUCGAGCGAGCGGCGGACGGGUGAGUAAUGGCUGGGAAACUGCCUGAGGGAGGGGGAGAACUACUGGAAACGGUAGCUAAUACCGCAUACCAUCAGAUGUGCCCAGAUGGGAUUAGCUGGUGGGUGGGGUAACGGCUCACCUAGGCGACGAUCCCUAGCUGGUCUGCGAGGAUGACCAGCCACACUGGAACUGAGACACGGGCCAGACCCCUACGGUAGGCAGCAGUGGGGAAUAUUGCACAAUGGUCGAAAGCCUGAUGCAGCCAUGCCGCGUGUGUGAAGAAGGCCUUCGGGUUGUAAAGCACUUUCAGCGGGGAGGCGUUACCCGCAGAAGAAGCACCGGCUAACUCCGUGCCAGCAGCCGCGGUAAUUC